UUUCCGUAGGUGAACCUGCGGAAGGAUCAUUAUUGAAUAACCGAGGUGCGAGGGCUGUCGCUGACCCGAAAGGUCGUGGACGCCCGAGUGCCCUCACACACAUCCAUCUCACCCCUAUGUGCACCACCGCGUGGGUCCCCCUUUGGCUUGUUCGGAGGGGGGCUUACGUUUUCACACAAACUUUGUAUGCAGUGUAGAAUGUAUUUUUUGUUUUUGCGAUCACGCAAUCAAUACAACUUUCAACAACGGAUCUCUUGGCUCUC
rnacentral:misc_RNA from 1 species